CUGGAAGCUGGGAAGUCCAAGAUCAAGAAGUUGAUAUUUGGUGAAACCUUUCUUGCUGCAACAUCCCAGGGUAGAAGGGCAAGGAGAAAGUGAGAAAGAGCAAGAGAUCAAACUUUCAGGCUGAAGCUCUUUUAUUAUCAGCAUUUUUCUAUUCAUGAAGGUGGAGCUCUCAUAACCUAGAUGUUUCCCAUUAGACCUCACCUCCCUACACUGUUUCAUUGGUGAUUAAGUUUUUAACAUAUGUUUUCUGAGGGGACACAUUUAGACCAUUUCGCCAAGCUUAGGUCAUAGGUCAAAACAUCAAUUAAUAUUGUUUACAGUGUUUUUAUUAUUUAAAAUGUUUUCUGAUUUUCUAUAAUUUGAUAAAGAAGUUUGAUCAAGCAAAACUUGGAAACCGUAAACUGAUGAUCAUCAAUUAUUUUCAUGGUUUUUACAAUGUCUUAAAAUAUUGUAAGAAUUUGAGGCAAGAUAACUCUUUCUAAAUACUACUUAUAAAUUGCGUGCAUUAUGUAUAGUUUAAAUAAUACUUGCAUAUUGUAUGCCUUACAGAGUUCCCAUUCCAGCUAAGAUGGAGUUAGCACAAGCCCCUUUUCACUUCCACUGAAUUCAACUGUAAAACCAGGAAAGAAUUCAUGGCCUAGCUAUUUGAGAACUUGACAAACAAAUAGCAACAAGUGGAUCAGAGAAAAACACCAGAAUUUGGAGCAUCAUUGAACUAGUGUCCCAGGAAAUCCCAUGGUGAAGAGAUCAGUGACAUUGAUAUCAGUCAGCAGUGGAGGCCUGUUGGAGCCAAAACUCUGAAUGUAGAAAACAUUCAUCUCCAUGUAGUGGAUCUGUUGCACCAGUAUAAUGUAUCCAAACUCAGUUGCCUUUCUUUCUCACUUUUGAUCCUCCAACUAAUUAGCCCCAGGCAUGGUACAAUUAUGAAAGUAGGUGGUUUCUAGCUGGACAAUCAAAAAGAAGCACAAGAAAAAUUACUGGGGCUGCCAUGGAGAGCAAGAGGGAAAGUGACACCAUAAAGUUGUUUAUAAACCUUUGGGCUCACCCCCAAACUGCACAUAUACAAAUAUUAUCCUAUUUAGCAUAAAAAAUGUUUAGAAAUUAGAAGAUGGGUCCCAGACUUACUACUAAGUAGUAUCCACAUGGGACAGAUCUGAAUAACAGUGUAAAUGCAUGAAAAAUUAAGCUCAUAUUGGGACUGACAGCCAUAGAAAGCUAAAACUAAAUACCAAUUUUUUCUGUAGGAUUUAGACAAGACUCAAGAGUCUAUUGAUAUAAUAUUCACAAUAUUCCAGCAUACAAAGAAAUGUGAGACAAUCAACUUGCAUCAGAAAAGACAAUCAACAGAUACCAAAGAUGAGAUAAUUGAGGUGUUGGUAUUAUUUAACAAAGAUUUUAAAUGAGUUGCUAUAAAAAUUCUCAAGUGAACUAUCAUGAACACUCUUGAAACAAAUAUAUUUAAAAUAACAUGGCAG
rnacentral:lncRNA from 1 species